GAAAUGCGAUAAGUAAUGUGAAUUGCAGAAUUCAGUGAAUCAUCGAAUCUUUGAACGCACAUUGUGCCCGCCAGUAUUCUGGCGGGCAUGCCUGUUCGGGCGUCAUUACAACCCUCAGGCCCCCGGGCCUGGCGUUGGGGAUCGGCGGAAGCCCCCUGCGGGCACAACGCCGUCCCCCAAAUACAGUGGCGGUCCCGCCGCAGCUUCCAUUGCGUAGUAGCUAACACCUCGCAACUGGAGAGCGGCGCGGCCACGCCGUAAAACACCCAACUUCUGAAUGUUGACCUCGAAUCAGGUAGGAAUACCCGCUGAACUUAAGC
rnacentral:misc_RNA from 1 species